GCUCGCCCUCGGCACCUGACCCGGCGAGAGGAAGGGGCGGGUCCAGAGAACACCCGGGACUUGAACGCUGGACCCUGAGAGAGGCCUCGGAGAGGGGAGGAAGGGUGAGGUCACGAUGUGCCUGGACAAAAACCCUUGGAGCAGGACCAGGACUAGGACCGUGUGCUGUCCUGGAGCCAGUGAAACCAGACGAAAUUAAGGGAACAGCAGACGAAGGAACUGCCACCGUGCCCCAGACCCUGGUUUGCAAAUACAGUUCGACAAAGAUCUUGCCAGGAAUUGGCCUGGGAGAGUCCAAAGGACUGGGCUGGGGGUGGGGAAAUGAUUUUAGCCAGAAGACAAAUAUAGAGGUUGUACCCAGAAGGUUAAGAGGCUUAGGAAGGUUAAGAACUACGUUAACAUUUGGCUCCCAGGACCCCAGGUAAAGUGCCCUUGGAUUGAAUAGAUUUCUGAACUCCAGAAACAUUUAGAGGAAUCAAUAGAAUUAGAUUGGCAGCCAUUGUGCCAAUGGACAAGUGCUUACUGAGCCCCUUAAUCCCUUCACUGGGUAAGCAUUUGCCACACAUGUCCUCAAAAACCUACUUGUUAGCUUAAGUGGACUCCCUCAAGUUCAGAACAGGAGCAAAUAGUGUAAUCACAAGUUCCGUGUCUGAAUAAUCAUAACAAUGUUUAUAAAAAUAAGGACGACUGUUGAAAACUGCAACUGCAGCUGAACCUUAUGUGCCCAGACUUCAGAAUUCCCAUAGGCAAAAUGCCAGCAGGCCUUUGCACACUGAACACAUAGUGUUCAUAUCCUUCACUUUCCUUUCCUGCCCUCUCCUAUCUUCUCCAGAUCUGCCUGUGAAAGGACCCAAUUCUAGGACCCCCCAGGAUGGUUAGGCCCUUCCUCUGAAAGUACACUUUGCAAUUUGUUAGUCUCCUCAAGAACCCCAGCGAUCGAAACUGAUGCACACAAAUUGCAUGUGUUCAAAGGAGCAAUUUUGAAUCUAGCUUUGUUGAUCCUGGGAGAAAUCUUUGACCUGUGUUAGUGAAAGGCUAUGGUGUUUCUCAGCUGAUUAUAAUAGCGAGGUAGCUGAAUGCAAAAAAACAGUUUCAGAGAAUGGUAGAGUAUAUCCUCCAAAGGUGAUACUCGCUUCUCUAUUCUGGUGAGAGAAACAAGAGCUAAAGCAAAAUUCUACAGAGGGCUUUAUUUGGAGAGAGGUGGAUUUUAUUUAUAAUGCAUUUAAAAUUCAAAAUCUUUCUAGUUUGAACUCUUGACAUUCUGAUUAAUGCAUUUUUAUUCAACUGUUAAUUAUUCCUCGAUACACCUCGCCAUCACUUGUGUAUCCCUUUUCUACAUGUGACCUUUCCCUGGCCACAUCUGCUACUCUCUUUGAGCAUGAUGCCUCUACUGUAUUCUAUUCCAGAGCUCAUUGUUUUGUCAGUUUUUUUUCUCUCCACAAAAAAAGAUGAUCAAAUAAUUACAUAGAAUUUUUCCCUUCUCAGUCUUUGGGUAACUAAGUGUGGUUUUAUUGACGAUGAAAUACAAGAUGGGUCAUUUAAAAGCAACUUCUUGUCAUCACUUGGUAUUUUGCUAAAUCCACGGUGAGCUGGAGCUCCCGUAGUCACCUAUCACCGCGUGUAUUUUAAGGAGUCAGAUAUUCUCGAAACUGUUAAGAUCAUGAAAGACAAAGAGACUAAGGAACUGUCACAGAUUAAAGGAGACUAAAGAUACUUGACAACUGAAUGUAAUAUAUGACACUCAACCGGCUCCUGUACCAGAAAAAGGACAUUGGUUAUAUUGGUGAGGUUUGAAUAUCUGUAGAUUACCAAUACUAUUCUUGGUUAUGGUGGUUAUGUAAGAUUUAGAGAAGUUGAAUAAAGGAUAUAAGGAC
rnacentral:lncRNA from 10 species